GUCCCCAUCGUCUAGUCAGGCCAAGGACACCGGCCUUUCACGCCGGCAACGGGGGUUCAAAUCCCCCUGGGGACA
rnacentral:tRNA from 1 species